GUAUAAAAGUGAGUAUAAUAAAAACCCAACAGUAAAUGGUAUCUGUGUGGUGCAGACGCGGUUAAAAGAAAGACCGUUUUUCGAAUAACCGUCGGAGCGGAAAGGACAACUUCCCUCUAUCUGUUAGUUUUCAAAGUUAAUUGAUAAGCAGACGUGACAGGUUGAUAAAGGAGUGACCGCCUUUGGUACCUGAACAGUCGAGAGAUCUGUGUUGUUGGCGAUUUUGUUCGAGCCAUGGCAGAGAGUACGACAACAGAGCAGUGCUGCAGUAUGGUCAGGUCGCCUUAUAUGUUACUUAUGGAGGCGUUUGCAUCGGCGGAAGAUGCAACUGAUUCGUUUCCUCUCCCCGGCCUUUCUGACGCUGAAUAUGACGUAGCCUCUCAGGU